rnacentral:rRNA from 3 species
CUAAGGGCUUGUGGUGGAUGCCUUGGCACCGAGAGGCGAUGAAGGACGUAGCUACCUGCGAUAAGCCACGGGUAUCUGGAAGCAAGAUUAUCCGUGGAUCUCCGAAUGGGGCAACCCCACCGGUGAAUGCCGGUGAGCCUUUAGCUGAAAACAUAGGCUAAAGGCGGCUAACCCGGGGAAGUGAAACAUCUCAGUACCCGGAGGAAAAGAAAGCAAAACGCGACUCCGUGAGUAGUGGCGAGCGAAAACGGAUGAGCCUAAACCGCUGGCAUGUGAUAGGCCAGUUCCGUUAUGUCAGCGGGGUUGUGGGAUUAUCCCGGAGUGUGACUGGACACUCCAAGAGGUUACAAAACUGUCUCUUAGUGGAACACGACUGGAUAAGUCGGACCAUAGAAGGUGAUAGUCCUGUACACGAAAAGAGCACGGUCCUCUGGAUAAUAUCCCAAGUAACACGGGUUAAGUGGAAGCCUGUGUGAAUCCGGGAGAACCAUCUCCUAAGGCUAAGUACUCCUCGGUGACCGAUAGUGAACCAGUACCGUGAGGGAAAGGUGAAAAGCACCCCGAACAGGGGAGUGAAAUAGAACCUGAAACCACAUGCCUACAAUCAGUGAGAGGGCUAUGGAUGACCUCGGUCAUCAAUGCCUGAUCGCGUGCCUUUUGCAUAAUGAGCCGGCGAGUUACUUUGCGCAGCAAGGUUAAGGGCUUAUGGUCCGUAGCCGUAGCGAAAGCGAGUCCGAAUAGGGCGUUGAGUUGCGCUGAGUAGACCCGAAACCGUGUGAUCUACCCAUGGCCAGAGUGAAGUCCCUGUAACAGGGGAUGGAGGCUCGAACUAAUGGCGGUUGAAAACGCUUUGGAUGAGCUGUGGGUAGGGGUGAAAGGCUAAACAAACUCGGUUAUAGCUGGUUCUCCCCGAAAUGCCUUUAGGGGCAGCGUCGUGAAGUAGUCCGCGGGGGUAGAGCACUGGAUGGGCUAGGGGUCUCACCAGACUACUGAACCCAACCAAACUCCGAAUACCGCGGGUGGUAUCACGGCAGUGAGAACAUGGGGGAUAAGCUCCAUGCUCGAGAGGGAAACAACCCAGAUCGCCAGCUAAGGUCCCCAAUAUACGCUAAGUGGAAAACGAAGUGUAACCGCAAAAACAACCAGGAUGUUGGCUUAGAAGCAGCCAUUCAUUUAAAGAGUGCGUAAUAGCUCACUGGUCGAGCGGUUGUGCGCGGAAAAUGUAACGGGGCUUAAGCGUAUAACCGAAGCUGCGACUUGUCAUCCUCGGAUGGCAGGGGUAGGGGAGCAUUCUAUACGGGCUGAAGCAUGACCGAAAGGACAUGUGGACUGUAUGGAAGCGAUCAUGCCGGCAUUAGUAACGAUAAGGAAGGCGAGAAUCCUUCCCGCCGAAAGUCCAAGGGUUCCCGGGGUAGGUGAUUCCGCCCGGGGUUAGUCGGGCCCUAAGCCGAGGCCGAAAGGCGUAGGCGAUGGAAAGCAGGCACAAAGAUUCCUGCACCACCUCCCAACCGCUAUCAGCGAUGGGGUGACGCAGUAGGAUAAAGCCAGUGUCCAGGCGGUGGACAUCUGCGCAUAUAGGCUGUGACUCAGGCAAAUCCGGGUCACAUUAAAGCCGAGGUGCGUGGCAAGUGGAUCCUUCGGGUGAAGCAAGUGGCUUGAUUCCACACUGCCAAGAAAAACCUCUAGCGAGGUUGGAGGUGCCCGUACCGGAAACCGACACAGGUGGACGAGGAGAGUAUCCUAAGGCGCUCAGGUGAUCCACCCUUAAGGAACUCGACCAAUUGGCCCCGUAACUUUGGAAGAAGGGGUACUUCUGUCGUGUAAGGACUUGCUCCCGAAGCGAUAGGAGUGGCACUGAAGUGGCUCGGGCGACUGUUUAUCAAAAACACAGGUCUCUGCAAACUCGUAAGAGGAUGUAUAGGGACUGACGCCUGCCCGAUGCCGGAAGGUUAAGGGGAGGAGUUAGCGCAAGCGAAGCUCUGAACCGAAGCCCCGGUCAAUGGCGGCCGUAACUAUAACGGUCCUAAGGUAGCGAAAUUCCUUGUCGGGUAAGUUCCGACCUGCACGAAUGGCGUAACGAUCCGAGCAUUGUCUCAAGGGUGGGCCUGGUGAAGUUGUAAUACCUGUGCUGAUGCAGGUUACCCGCGAUAGGACGGAAAGACCCUGUGCACCUUUACUACAGCUUGGUAUUGGGUUUAGUUGAACUAUGUAUAGGAUAGGUGGGAGACUUCGAAGCCGGGGCGCUAGCUUCGGUGGAGUCGUCCUUGGAAUACCACCCUUAGUUUAAUUGAAUCCUAACUCCGAACCCGUGAAACCGGGCGGAGGACAGUGCCUGGCGGGUAGUUUGACUGGGGCGGUCGCCUCCCAAAAAGUAACGGAGGCGUCCCAAGGUUCCCUCAGCAUGUUUGGAAAUCAUGCGUAGAGUGCAAUGGCAUAAGGGAGCUUAACUGUGAGACCGACAGGUCGAGCAGAUGGGAAACCAGGGCAUAGUGAUCCAGCGGCUCUGUAUGGAAGGGCCGUUGCUCAUCGGACAAAAGGUACGCCGGGGAUAACAGGCUGAUCUCCCCCAAGAGUUCACAUCGACGGGGAGGUUUGGCACCUCGAUGUCGGCUCGUCACAUCCUGGGGCUGGAGCAGGUCCCAAGGGUUCGUCUGUUCGCCGAUUAAAGUGGCACGCGAGCUGGGUUCAGAACGUCGUGAGACAGUUCGGUCCCUAUCCAUCGCGGGCGUAGGAGACUUGAGGAAAUCUGCCCCUAGUACGAGAGGACCGGGGUGGACGGAUAUAGGGUGUUCCAGCUGUCACGCCAGUGGCACCGCUGGGUAGCCACGUCCGGACGGGAUAAGCGCUGAAAGCAUCUAAGUGCGAAGCCCCUUCCAAGAUGAGGUCUCCCUUAGCCGUAAGGCUACUAAAGAGCCCUGGAAGACUACCAGGUUGAUAGGCUGGAGGUGUAAGCAUGGCAACAUGUUAAGCCGACCAGUACUAAUAGCUCGUGCGGCUUGGUC